rnacentral:rRNA from 1 species
UACGGAGGGUGCGAGCGUUGUCCGGAAUCACUGGGCGUAAAGGGCGCGUAGGUGGCGCGGGAAGUCAACGGUGAAAGUUCGGGGCUCAACCCUGAAUCGGCCGUCGAUACUCCCGGGCUCGAGCACUGUAGAGGCAGAUGGAAUUCCGGGUGUAGCGGUGGAAUGCGUAGAGAUCCGGAAGAACACCGGUGGCGAAGGCGGUCU